rnacentral:rRNA from 1 species
GGUUAAGCGACUAAGCGUACACGGUGGAUGCCCUGGCAGUCAGAGGCGAUGAAGGACGUGCUAAUCUGCGAUAAGCGUCGGUAAGGUGAUAUGAACCGUUAUAACCGGCGAUUUCCGAAUGGGGAAACCCAGUGUGAUUCGUCACACUAUCAUUAACUGAAUCCAUAGGUUAAUGAGGCGAACCGGGGGAACUGAAACAUCUAAGUACCCCGAGGAAAAGAAAUCAACCGAGAUUCCCCCAGUAGCGGCGAGCGAACGGGGAGGAGCCCAGAGCCUGAAUCAGUGUGUGUGUUAGUGGAAGCGUCUGGAAAGGCGCGCGAUACAGGGUGACAGCCCCGUACACAAAAAUGCACAUGCUGUGAGCUCGAUGAGUAGGGCGGGACACGUGGUAUCCUGUCUGAAUAUGGGGGGACCAUCCUCCAAGGCUAAAUACUCCUGACUGACCGAUAGUGAACCAGUACCGUGAGGGAAAGGCGAAAAGAACCCCGGCGAGGGGAGUGAAAAAGAACCUGAAACCGUGUACGUACAAGCAGUGGGAGCACGCUUCGGCGUGUGACUGCGUACCUUUUGUAUAAUGGGUCAGCGACUUAUAUUCUGUAGCAAGGUUAACCGAAUAGGGGAGCCGAAGGGAAACCGAGUCUUAACUGGGCGUUAAGUUGCAGGGUAUAGACCCGAAACCCGGUGAUCUAGCCAUGGGCAGGUUGAAGGUUGGGUAACACUAACUGGAGGACCGAACCGACUAAUGUUGAAAAAUUAGCGGAUGACUUGUGGCUGGGGGUGAAAGGCCAAUCAAACCGGGAGAUAGCUGGUUCUCCCCGAAAGCUAUUUAGGUAGCGCCUCGUGAAUUCAUCUCCGGGGGUAGAGCACUGUUUCGGCAAGGGGGUCAUCCCGACUUACCAACCCGAUGCAAACUGCGAAUACCGGAGAAUGUUAUCACGGGAGACACACGGCGGGUGCUAACGUCCGUCGUGAAGAGGGAAACAACCCAGACCGCCAGCUAAGGUCCCAAAGUCAUGGUUAAGUGGGAAACGAUGUGGGAAGGCCCAGACAGCCAGGAUGUUGGCUUAGAAGCAGCCAUCAUUUAAAGAAAGCGUAAUAGCUCACUGGUCGAGUCGGCCUGCGCGGAAGAUGUAACGGGGCUAAACCAUGCACCGAAGCUGCGGCAGCGACACUAUGUGUUGUUGGGUAGGGGAGCGUUCUGUAAGCCUGUGAAGGUGUACUGUGAGGUAUGCUGGAGGUAUCAGAAGUGCGAAUGCUGACAUAAGUAACGAUAAAGCGGGUGAAAAGCCCGCUCGCCGGAAGACCAAGGGUUCCUGUCCAACGUUAAUCGGGGCAGGGUGAGUCGACCCCUAAGGCGAGGCCGAAAGGCGUAGUCGAUGGGAAACAGGUUAAUAUUCCUGUACUUGGUGUUACUGCGAAGGGGGGACGGAGAAGGCUAUGUUGGCCGGGCGACGGUUGUCCCGGUUUAAGCGUGUAGGCUGGUUUUCCAGGCAAAUCCGGAAAAUCAAGGCUGAGGCGUGAUGACGAGGCACUACGGUGCUGAAGCAACAAAUGCCCUGCUUCCAGGAAAAGCCUCUAAGCAUCAGGUAACAUCAAAUCGUACCCCAAACCGACACAGGUGGUCAGGUAGAGAAUACCAAGGCGCUUGAGAGAACUCGGGUGAAGGAACUAGGCAAAAUGGUGCCGUAACUUCGGGAGAAGGCACGCUGAUAUGUAGGUGAAGNNNNNNNNNNNNNNNNNNNNNNNNNNNNNNNNNNNNNNNNNNNNNNNNNNNNNNNNNNNNNNNNNNNNGCGAAGCUCUUGAUCGAAGCCCCGGUAAACGGCGGCCGUAACUAUAACGGUCCUAAGGUAGCGAAAUUCCUUGUCGGGUAAGUUCCGACCUGCACGAAUGGCGUAAUGAUGGCCAGGCUGUCUCCACCCGAGACUCAGUGAAAUUGAACUCGCUGUGAAGAUGCAGUGUACCCGCGGCAAGACGGAAAGACCCCGUGAACCUUUACUAUAGCUUGACACUGAACAUUGAGCCUUGAUGUGUAGGAUAGGUGGGAGGCUUUGAAGUGUGGACGCCAGUCUGCAUGGAGCCGACCUUGAAAUACCACCCUUUAAUGUUUGAUGUUCUAACGUUGGCCCGUUAUCCGGGUUGCGGACAGUGUCUGGUGGGUAGUUUGACUGGGGCGGUCUCCUCCUAAAGAGUAACGGAGGAGCACGAAGGUUGGCUAAUCCUGGUCGGACAUCAGGAGGUUAGUGCAAUGGCAUAAGCCAGCUUGACUGCGAGCGUGACGGCGCGAGCAGGUGCGAAAGCAGGUCAUAGUGAUCCGGUGGUUCUGAAUGGAAGGGCCAUCGCUCAACGGAUAAAAGGUACUCCGGGGAUAACAGGCUGAUACCGCCCAAGAGUUCAUAUCGACGGCGGUGUUUGGCACCUCGAUGUCGGCUCAUCACAUCCUGGGGCUGAAGUAGGUCCCAAGGGUAUGGCUGUUCGCCAUUUAAAGUGGUACGCGAGCUGGGUUUAGAACGUCGUGAGACAGUUCGGUCCCUAUCUGCCGUGGGCGCUGGAGAACUGAGGGGGGCUGCUCCUAGUACGAGAGGACCGGAGUGGACGCAUCACUGGUGUUCGGGUUGUCAUGCCAAUGGCACUGCCCGGUAGCUAAAUGCGGAAGAGAUAAGUGCUGAAAGCAUCUAAGCACGAAACUUGCCCCGAGAUGAGUUCUCCCUGACUCC